rnacentral:rRNA from 1 species
UCCUACGGGGCGCAGCAGUGGGGAAUAUUGCACAAUGGGGGAAACCCUGAUGCGGCGACGCCGCGUGAGUGAAGAAGUAUUUCGGUACGUAAAGCUCUAUCAGCAGGGAAGAAAAUGACGGUACCUGACCAAGAAGCCCCGGCUAACUACGUGCCAGCAGCCGCGGUAAUACGUAGGUGGCAAGCGUUAUCCGGAUUUAUUGGGUGUAAAGGGCGUGUAGGCGGGAAUGCAAGUCAGAUGUGAAAACUAUGGGCUCAACCCAUAGCCUGCAUUUGAAACUGUAUUUCUUGAGUGCUGGAGAGGCA